rnacentral:rRNA from 1 species
AUUGAACGCUGGCGGUAUGCUUAACACAUGCAAGUCGAACGGUAGCAGGCCUUCGGGCGCUGACGAGUGGCGGACGGGUGAGUAACGCGUAGGAAUCUGCCUGUUAGUGGGGGACAACGUGGGGAAACUCACGCUAAUACCGCAUACGCCCUACGGGGGAAAGGGAGGGGACCGUUCGGGCCGUGGCGCUAAUAGAUGAGCCUAUGUUGGAUUAGCUAGUUGGUAGGGUAAAGGCCUACCAAGGCGACGAUCCAUAGCUGGUCUGAGAGGAUGAUCAGCCACACUGGGACUGAGACACGGCCCAGACUCCUACGGGAGGCAG